UUUUUUUUGUGCCUAAAACUUAAAAAAUAUUUAUAUACUACUAUAGUAUUUAUUAAUAUUUUGAAUUAGCAUUUUAUUCAUUUUUAAUUUUAAUUAAAGUUUAAUUAAUUUCACAAUGUUCUUUUAUUACUUUUGGUAUUUGUUAUAUAUAUUAUCUUUAAUAUAUUCUUAUUUUAUUUGUUUUAAUUUUAGUACUUAAACUUGAUUUCAGUUAAUUACAAAGGCAACAUUUUUAAAGUUUUUCCAUUCAAUAUUUACAUCAAAUAAAUAAUCCAUUGACAAGAUUAAAUAGAUUUUCGACAGUUGUUGCAUACCUCAUCAACACUGGCUGCUUUUUUCUAACUUUUCGUUUAAGUUUUAGUUUUAGUUUUACGUUUCAAAUCUAAUAUUUAUAUUAUCUUUUUUCCAGCAAUUUUUAAUUCCCAAAAAUGUUUUUUAGUAGUUUUACUUUUAGGUUACACUCAGUAACACAAGCCGCUAUUAUAAUUUGUAAUGAAGAAGUUGAAUUCAAUUAGAAAAAAAAUGAGUGCAGAAGCAGCACAUACAGUAAAAAUACAUACUAUGAUCAAACAACUAGAAAUGCAUUAUUAAGGUUAAUAACUUGUAUAAUAAAGAAGUAUUGACAUCUUUCUCUGUGUUUGUUUCAUGCAUUUCUCUGCUGAUGGAUAAUCACAGAUGCAGAGCUUCUCGAGUGAAUCAUCUCUUCCAGAAAUAAAGAGAAUAACUCCAGUCCUUAUCCUGUCAUUCGUUUCAGCUCCUGGCGAUCAAUCAGUCCAUAUGGAUUAUAUUAAAUGGGAAUAACCCAAUAACCUUCCUACUGAAGAUCUCUUCUUCUGAUCUGUGUUCAGAAUAAAUAAACAUACGUAGCAUAUUA